rnacentral:rRNA from 1 species
GUAGGGAAUAUUGGACAAUGGGGGCAACCCUGAUCCAGCCAUGCCGCGUGAGUGAAGAAGGCCCUCGGGUUGUAAAGCUCUUUUGUCCGGAAAGAAAAGCUUCGGGUUAAUACCCCGGGGUUCUGACGGUACCGGAAGAAUAAGCACCGGCUAACUUCGUGCCAGCAGCCGCGGUAAUACGAAGGGUGCAAGCGUUACUCGGAAUUACUGGGCGUAAAGCGUGCGUAGGUGGUUGUUUAAGUCUGAUGUGAAAGCCCUGGGCUCAACCUGGGAAUGGCAUUGGAAACUGGGCAGCUAGAGUGCGGUAGAGGGUAGUGGAAUUCCCGGUGUAGCAGUGAAAUGCGUAGAGAUCGGGAGGAACAUCUGUGGCGAAGGCGACUGCCUGGACCAGCACUGACACUGAGGCACAAAAGCGUGGGGAGCAAAC